GGGUGUGACGUCAGUCCUGAAGUCUCAGUCGUCGCCGCUUCUUCAUCCAAAA
rnacentral:sRNA from 1 species